UACGUAGGGGGCAAGCGUUGUCCGGAAUCAUUGGGCGUAAAGAGCGCGUAGGUGGCUAUGUAAGUCCGUUGUGAAAGUCAAAGGCUCAACCUUUGAAAGCCGAUGGAUACUGCAUAGCUAGAGUACGGAAGAGGCGAGUGGAAUUCCUGGUGUAGCGGUGGAAUGCGCAGAUAUCAGGAAGAACACCCGUGGCGAAGGCGGCUCUCUGGGACGGUACUGACGCUGAGACGCGAAAGCGUGGGGAGCGAACAGG
rnacentral:rRNA from 1 species